UACGGGGGGGCAAGCGUUGUUCGGAAUUACUGGGCGUAAAGGGCUCGUAGGCGGCCAACUAAGUCGGACGUGAAAUCCCAGGCUCAACCUGGGAACUGCGUCCGAUACUGGAUGGCUUGAAUCCGGGAGAGGGAUGCAGAAUUCCAGGUGUAGCGGUGAAAUGCGUAGAUAUCUGGAGGAAUACCGGUGGCGAAGGCGGCAUCCUGGACCGGCAUUGACGCUGAGGAGCGAAAGCCAGGGGAGCAAACGGG
rnacentral:rRNA from 1 species